GCCAUUCUGCACGACGAAGUGGAAGGUAAAGCUCUCCAGCUUGCCCAGGAUGACAUUCUGGACUGACGAGUCCUUGAACGUGAACAGGUUGUUCACGUCGUUCAGAAUGCAUUUGCUCGAGUCGGUGAGGUCCUGCUCGAGCGCUGCGUCCGCCUCCACUGGUGAUAGGAAGAAGCCAAAGUUCUCCCAGUUGCUAACGUCCUCCUGGCUCCCGUGCAGGCGAUAGAGCCCAAUAUCCCGAAUGGUGAUGUCCAACUUGCCGCCCUCCGCGAAGCCGAAGGCUUCCGUCAGGGGAAUCAGCGGUCGGUCAUCCUUAUCG
rnacentral:lncRNA from 1 species